rnacentral:rRNA from 1 species
CUCAUUAAAUCAGUUAUCGUUUAUUUGAUAGCACCUUACUACAUGGAUAACCGUGGUAAUUCUAGAGCUAAUACAUGCUGAAAAUCCCGACUUCGGAAGGGAUGUAUUUAUUAGAUUAAAAACCAAUGCCCUCCGGGGCUCACUGGUGAUUCAUAAUAACUUCUCGAAUCGCAUGGCCUUGCGCCGGCGAUGGUUCAUUCAAAUUUCUGCCCUAUCAACUUUCGACUGCUGGGUCUUGGCCAGCAAUGGUGACAACGGGUAACGGAGGGUUAGGGCUCGACCCCGGAGAAGGAGCCUGAGAAACGGCUACUACAUCCAAGGAAGGCAGCAGGCGCGCAAAUUACCCAAUCCCGACACGGGGAGGUAGUGACAAUAAAUACUGAUACAGGGCUCUUUUGGGUCUUGUAAUUGGAAUGAGUACAAUUUAAAUCCCUUAACGAGGAACAAUUGGAGGGCAAGUCUGGUGCCAGCAGCCGCGGUAAUUCCAGCUCCAAUAGCGUAUAUUAAAGUUGUUGCAGUUAAAAAGCUCGUAGUUGAACCUUGGGCCUGGCCGGCCGGUCCGCCUCACCGCGUGCACUGGUUCGGCCGGGCCUUUUCCUCUGGCGAGCCCCAUGCCCUUCACUGGGCGUGUGGGGGAACCAGGACUUUUACUUUGAAAAAAUUAGAGUGUUCAAAGCAGGCCUAUGCUCGAAUACAUUAGCAUGG